UACGAAGGGGGCUAGCGUUGCUCGGAAUCACUGGGCGUAAAGGGUGCGUAGGCGGGUCUUUAAGUCAGGGGUGAAAUCCUGGAGCUCAACUCCAGAACUGCCUUUGAUACUGAGGAUCUUGAGUUCGGGAGAGGUGAGUGGAACUGCGAGUGUAGAGGUGAAAUUCGUAGAUAUCGGAAGGAACACCUGUGGCGAAAGCGGCUCACUGGACCAUUACUGACGCUGAGGCACGAAAGCUAGGGGAGCAAACAGG
rnacentral:rRNA from 1 species